rnacentral:rRNA from 1 species
AAUCAACGCUGGCGGCGUGCCUCAGACAUGCAAGUCGAACGCGAAAGUUUCCUUCGGGAGAUGAGUAGAGUGGCGCACGGGUGAGUAACACGUGAGUAAUUUACCUUCGGGUGGGGAAUACUAACCGGAAACGGUUGUUAAUACCGCAUAAUGCAGCGGCAUCAAUGAUGACAGUUGUUAAAGCGGGGGAUUGGAGCAAUCCGACCUCGCGCCUGAAGAGAAGCUCGCGGCAGAUUAGCUAGUUGGUAAGGUAAUGGCUUACCAAGGCGACGAUCUGUAACCGGCCUGAGAGGGCGGUCGGUCACACUGACACUGAAUAACGGGUCAGACUCCUACGGGAGGCAGCAGUCGGGAAUUUUGGGCAAUGGGCGCAAGCCUGACCCAGCAACGCCGCGUGAAGGAUGAAGC